UACGGAGGGUGCAAGCGUUAUCCGGAUUCACUGGGUUUAAAGGGUGCGUAGGAGGGCAGGUAAGUCAGUGGUGAAAUCCCCGAGCUUAACUUGGGAACUGCCGUUGAUACUAUCUGUCUUGAAUGUUGUGGAGGUGAGCGGAAUAUGUCAUGUAGCGGUGAAAUGCUUAGAUAUGACAUAGAACACCAAUUGCGAAGGCAGCUCGCUGCACAAUUAUUGACUCUGAGGCACGAAAGCGUGGGGAUCAAACAGG
rnacentral:rRNA from 1 species